rnacentral:other from 1 species
UGAUGUCUGCGGUGUGCGUGGUAUGAGAAAUUCGUAAUCCACAAAGUAAUUAAGGGAGCGUGUCGUUCGCGGAAAUAGGCAAGGUCUGUACCCGAAUACGGAAAGUCCGACGUUCAGCUUCGCCGCACCCACCUGCGAGAUGCGGGUUAAUACUUUUUCAUAUCACGGCACAGGCGGAUAAUCG